UAAAUUACCGUUACACCCUACAAUGUAUUUAUUCCUUAAAACACUUGACCCCGUAUAAAUGAUAUUUCAGCUUAUGUGAAAUGAGUACUCCACCAUUUAUGUUCGUUUGGUCAAGCUCGAAGGAGAUCAUCCUUUGCUUACUAUUCGCCAGAUAGAAGCUAUAGAUUCCAUGUUUAUGAUAGCGCUCCCACUCAAUUGCACUACCAUGUUCCCAAAAAGUACGUAUCACCCUGACCAAAAGGUAGGCUUAACUAACAAUUCAAGGAACACGAAUAGCCUUUCAAGAUUGAGCCUAAUCAUAACAGGAUUAAGAACAUUCGAUCUAGGAUCAACUAGGCGAUAUUGACUUGAAUAGAUAUUACGGUAAGUUUAAUAAAUCUAAGUCAAAGUUCAAUAUCGGUCCCUUCCGAUGCAUACUCCAUGCAUCCAACCUGAGCUUUACUUUAACCAAUGUUCUGGAAAGAACAUAGCACUUCUCCAAAUGCAAGUAAACUCUUGUUGUAUAUUAUCAUAUCAGUAAAACCCUGUGUCUGAUAAAUCUAGGAAACUUUAUUCACAUAGUCAUGUUUACUUUCCAAUGUGUUGACGGCACAAUAAACAGGAUCAAGUAUGUGAAAAGGGUUUCAGAUGAAUUUAUACAUUAUGUACAUAUAAUCAUGAAAUAAAUCAUGUGAACCAUGCAACAUUAAAUGUUAUUUCUGAUCUAUAUUAAUAAGUAAAUCUGAUUAUAUUGAAAUGAGUUUUAUUUAGGGCAUAAAACCCAACACUUCCUCCUUAAGUUCUCUUACUCUCUCCAUUAACAUAUAAAUUUUUUAUUUUAUUUCUUGUUCAGUUCUUCUUCUUCAUCUUCUUCUCAUUUUUUAGUUUUUCUAAUUUUUAAUCACACUUUUGGGGGGAAAUAAAAGAGUGGUUUUUUUUUUUAUUUUGAUUUUCUAGAUCUGUUCUUGCAAAUAUAGGUUAUGGUACUUCAAAGAACACUAAAUCAAAAAAUACCCUCAAUCUGUGUUGGAGAACUCCGACUCCGAUUUUGAGUUUGAGCCAAAGUUCCAAAGUCUCCCAAAUCUGAUAAGCCGAAAGAAAGUUCAAAAGUCUCCCAAAUCUUAUAAGGUUUUUUUCUAUUGAUCUUGUGUUGUUUUAAGAGUUUUUUCAAGUUGAUUAUAUUUCCUAUUUUUUUUUUCUUGCAUGUUUUUUUUUUGUUAGUCUUAUUUUAUAGUUUUCUGUUUGUUUGACUCUGUGUCUUGUUCUUGUUUUGGUUUUAUUUUGUUAACUCUUAGGGAAAGAGUAAAUACCAAGUGAAGAUUGUUCAAUCAACUGAUCUGUUCGAAGACAUAAUUAGGAAAAGGGUUGUCGAGGAUGGGAAUCCAAGUACACCCGAUCGAAAUACUACCAUUCCAAAGUUUUUUCAUGCUUGUUUUUUUUUUUAUAUUCUGUAGUUUUUUUGUGUUGUUUUAGUAGUGUUUUCUUAUAUUUUUUUUUAUAGGAUUGUUGUUGAUUUAAUAAUUUUUUCUCUUUGCCAGAUUUUAUGGUUUUUUUCCUAGUGUUUCUAUGAUUCUGGUGUUGAUUUGUCCGUCCCCAACCACGAAGGAGGUGUCGUUUGUGCUUUAUUACUGUUAACAGUAUAAAAGUAAAUAUUUUAGGUCUGAACAGUAUGAAAGAAAAAAAAAAGGGGCUUGGACAGUAAAAAAGAAAUUAUUGCCGUGUGGCAGUAUUAUUGUAAAACUUGGGGAAAAAAAACAGUAUUUUUGUAAGUUUCCCUUAAAUAAUUGUUAUUCACCGAAUAGGCCCAAUACUAAUUGGGCCUAAAUAAACUAUCAUAUGGGUGAUAUUUUAUUUUAGCAACCUAAUCCAUUUAAAUAUCUACAAAUAAAUGGGCUUCCUAUAUGCAUCUAAGCCCAGAAGCAAACAUAUAGACUUAUACAUGUCAAACUGAUUUGGAUGGGCCCUAUCAUGUUUUUAGGUUUGCAUAGAUGAAAUAAAUACAAAAUUUACCUGUUACAAAUUUCUUAUAGAAUCUAUUGAAAAUUGAACUAUGAUUAAAAUCAGAUCAUUGGAUCUGUCAACAAGUUAAUCAUAGCAAUUUAGAUCAAAUAAAUAAUAGUGUGACAGUCAGU